rnacentral:misc_RNA from 1 species
AACUUUCAGCAAUGGAUCACUUGGUUCUGGCAUCGAUGAAGAACGCAGCGAAAUGCGAUAAGUAAUGCGAAUUGCAGAAUUCAGUGAGUCAUCGAAUCUUUGAACGCACAUUGCGCCCUGUGGUAUUCCGCAGGGCAUGCCUGUUCGAGCGUCAUUUCAACCCUCAAGCCUCGCUUGGUGUUGGGCCCUGCCCGCCGCGGCCGGCCCUAAAGACAGUGGCGGCGCCGCCUGGCCCUCAGCGUAGUACAUCUCUCGCUCCAGGGUCCGGCGGCAGCCUGCCAGAACCCCCCAACUCUGUGGUUGACCUCGGAUCAGGUAGGGAUACCCGCUGAACUUAAGCAUAUCAAUAAGCGGAGGCU